CUAAGGGACAUGGUGUAGGGGAGGACUUUGUAGAGUAGGGUAGAUGGUUGGACUCGAUGAUCCCAAGGGUCUCUUCCAACCUAGAUGAUUCUAUGAGGCAGUAAAACAGCUUUUGCUACUCUUGAGCAUUCCCAGCUUUCUGUUGUAAGGAGGAAUCUUACCGGACUUGUCGUACCUAGUAUAUGGUAGGCGUGCUGGCCUUUGGGGACUGGAUAUCAAGGAGCAGAGCUGAAAGUUGGUACAGAGCUGUUGGUAUGGAAACUAGCUGUAGCACCUGCCUACUAGAAUGGAUUUUCAUGUGAUUAGAAUUGGUACUGCACUGAGGUCAGAUGAUGGUUAAUACUUGGGAAGAAGGGUGGUCAUCUGGCCCUGGGCUUAUUUGCCCAGAUACACCUGUAACCAUUUGCUUCUCAGCGUAGUAAGGGAUAGAGGCAUAGAAAUGUUUGUAAGCCUUUUUAAUGAGUAAGGAGACCAUUCUAGGUGACUUAAGAGUCAACUGUUCAAGAAAGGUAUUUUUUUGGGGGUGUGAAAUAAGCAGGGAUUUAGAUCUCGCAGAUUCUCCACGGUUUCACACGUGGCUGUCAAUACAAAAAGAUAGGUUGGUUUUUUUCCCUACUAUAUAUGACAUAGCAGAGCAUCCUGUUCUCUGCAGCUUUGAUAUGGUAGUGAUUUGAAGAAGGCAGAAUAUUUUCCAUUCUUUUCAUAGACUUCCAGGGGCAGGCGAGGGCUGGUAUGUAUGUGAAAAGAGGAAGGGAUAGGUUCCCCACACUGACUGAAAAGCGGAUUAUGGAUUAGGCUGAUUGAAAGUUUAACAUUGACAUUGUACUUAGGCAAGGCAUUUUCAGGGUAUUUCUGCAUCUCCCUUUUGUUCCUUUGAGAAAGAGUACAAGUGUUGCUAGAAUAUACAGCGUCUGCAUAGUAGUAUGUCAGCAUACUAAGCUCUGCCAAGUGUGUGUGUGUCGGGGGGAAGGGCUCAUAAAAGAUUUAUGUGAAAUUCUGUCUGCCUCCCAAGUCUAGUUUUUAUUUGGAGGCAGUUUGCUAUAUGUAACUGCAUAUAGUACUCUGUCUUAGUGUAAUAGAUUUGUUCGUUUGCAAGGAAGGAAAUGUGUUUGGGGAGUUAUAUACGUCGUUCUGUUGUCCAUUUCUGUAGGAAGCAGAGUGGUUAAGGGAAAGCAGUCAGGAUGCAUAGGAGCUACAGGACAGAGCGUUGAAGUCUAGCACUAGCAUAGAUUUUACUGGGCUGUAUAUUUUUAUUGCAAUAUAUGCAUUAGCAGCAGGAGUCUUUAUCAAUGGCAUCCUAUAUAUCCGUCAAUAAAAAGGACAGUUGCUUUUGAUCAACAGUGAAUUUUAAAGUUUCCCUUCUGCAGUGCUUUGCAUUUUCCCAAGUUAAUGUGGUUUAAUAUAAUGCGAUAGAUACAGUUUUCCAGGACUAAAUUUUUGUCUUACCUCAAUUAUAGUGCUAUUUGUCUAUUUUAAUACAAGAGUGGAAAAGAAACCAAGUUUUAUUAGAGAUCACUGGAAUUUUUUUUUUUUAAUAAAGUAUUGUAAUCAGAAAACAAAUAAUUUAGUACAUUCAUAAAUUUUCAGGGAUAUAUUGCAGAAUCAUAUGGGGUUGGAAGGGACCUCUGGAGAUCAUGUAGCCCAGAUGUUAAUUUCCAGAAUUUAUUGCAACAAUUCCUCUUGUACAAAAUAGCAUUUGUUGUUAGAGAGGGAGAAAAAUCCAUUGGAGGUAAAAUUAGCCCGUAACCCAGUUCUUGCUUCCUCUAUGGCCAGUCACUUGGUUUUUCUAUGCAGAUUUCCCGUUUGUGGUGGAAGCAGUGAUACUACUGAGCUUCCUUGAGGCUUAGUUUAUCUGUGUCGUAAAAUACAUGCAUUUUGGGGAGGAAGGAACUGGAGAGGUGAAAACUGUACAGAGUGUUACACGGCCUAAAAAGGAAGGUGCGGUGAAGCAGGGGGAGAAGACUAAGCAGUAGCUGUGUACACGGGUGUCCUUUCAACUCUGUUUUAUCAAUGUAGUGGGAGGCCAGGGGUUCAGAUGACUGUUUAGUUACACUGUGAUGAGAAAUGGGAAUGUCCUAGUGACUGUUUGUGCAACUGAAAAUACGGCGUCUCUGGUGUUUACACAGAGUGUGGUUUGCCCAAGGGUGCUUGUGCAGUUUCUCUCCCUCACUGCUACCGUGCAAAGCACUGUCUGCUGGUAUUUAUUAUUCUCUGGAUCCUGUCUGUUGUGGUUUUACUGUGUAUUAAGCCCGAAACUGGUACAGUAUAUUACGAGUUUCAGGGGGAAACUUUGGUGUGCUUGUGUGUAUAUUUCCCCGUGCAUCUAACAAACACCAGGCCAACAGAAACAACACAAAUGUUAGGGUUACCCUCCCUACCCAUCUUUACAACAGUGUAUUGAAGGAGUAGCACAAAUAUAAUGUGACGUAGGGAUGCUUGUCCCUGCUGGAAUGGAAAUGUUUUGUUUACUGGAUGGCAAAUACUGAAGCUUUAUCAGUGAGAGAGCUAGGCAGAAAGAGGCUGCAGUUUGACUUUGCUAAACUUUUACACAAUUUUUCCUCCACAUGAAAUAUUUCCACAGGAAUAUAAUGCUUGUGAAAGAUGCUGGAGCAACAGUUGCAGAGAUUGAACUCCUCUACCCGCAGGAAAGGUUUUUCUACACGAGCAGGAAGUCUUCUCUUCCCUGUUACGGGGACACUAACCUCUUGAUCACAAUGAGGGGAAGAAAGGAUGGACCAGCAGCAACGUGGAGUGGGGUGACGUCCACACUUGGACUCUUUGAACACUGUCCUGCUAACAUGGAGAACUGAAUAAAAGAGUUGUGAAUUCUAA